UUUCCGUGAAGAUAAAUUUGUCCAGUUCUGCUACUGAAUGAAAGUGAUGCGACUGAAGACUCAGAGAAA